UUACAUUUUAUGUGGGUUAAAAUAGGGCCGUCUAAUAUAACACACGGGCUAACUCUAAAACCUUUUUUUUUAUGAAAACAAAUCACUGAAAGGCGUUGUUUUAAUUUUUUUUCUCCAGUUCUUCAUCUUUCCUCGACGAUUCUAAAUCGAGAGUUCCGCUUCAUGUGAUUUCAUUUCUUCUCCAGUUCUCCAUUGCCUGAUUGUAAUCCGGAGACACGAUUUCGUCUCCAGUUCUCCAGUCAUCGCCCUCCUCUCUCGCGAUCCUCUGUGUUGUGUCCGUCGAGCAAUCUCUUCUUCUCCUUGACAUCGGUGAGAAAAUCGAUAUAGGGUUUGUGGGUUUGUUGAAAUCGAUCUCCAGGGUUUGUGGGUCUGUUGAAAUCGAUCUCUAAGGUUUGAUUAUGUUUAGAGUUUGAGACUGAUGUAUAUGUUUGAGUUUAGUCUUGUAGCAACGAGUGUUGUAUGUUGAUGUGUAUGUUUGAGUUUUUUUGCUUCUUUAUUUUUUUUGCAGGACAUGCGUAAAUCAAGGUUUUACAAUAUAUUUUAGUUCAAUAACUGAUUAAAUGUGUUAGUAUUUUUGUUUGAGUUUGCUUUUCCAAAUUUCAAAAACUAUUCAGCAGUGCAAAACAGUUUGUAAAAUACUUUCAACUAGGUGUUUUACCCGCACAUGCGGGCAUAAUCAUCUUACGAAUAUUUAUUAUUUUAUGUCUUAUUAAUCCAAAAAUCGGCAUUAUAAAACUCUAACUGGUGAACAUGGUGAAAGAAAAAAAUUAUGGUGAAUUCUUUGUUCCUCAAAAUUUAUACCAGUUAUGUUGAAAUUUUAGUCAAAUUAUUGAAAGGUAGAUCCCACUUUUUUAUUCUAAAUUUCCCAUGGAAGAAUGAAUUUAUAAGAAAAAAUUUCUCUAUGCAAUUUUGAUAAGGAAUAAAUUGAACAAAAAUUCAUAUUUCUAUAUUUUUUCAAUUCUUCAAAUGAAAUUUUAUUUUUUAUUUUGUUUAUUUUUUUCAUUUUUCUAGUGGUGACCAACUGAAGCUAUAGUGUUUCACGGAUUAAACUUAAACUGAUUUAAAUUAAAAGCAAGAAACCUUGUUUUGAACUCAGUCACAAGUUAAGUUAUUAUUUAUGAUUUUAAAAUAGUUAAAUCAAACAUCAAAUUAUUUAUAUAUGUCAAAAAGCGUUCAUCAAACUAUGUAAUUAUUAUUGUGUUAAAAGUUUUAAAACACUCAUAUAUUAGAAAUAGUUUAGAAAAUAUCUUUAUAUAAAUAUUUUUGUUUGACUAAUAUUUAAUUAUAAACUGUUUUAUAUCUUAGUUGUUUAACUUUAUAAUAAAAAAAUAUUAUUUUCAGAUAGCAACACAAUAUAUAUAAGAAUUCUCUUAAUUUUUAAAUAUAUUUUCACAAUUUUAUUAUAUUAGUUUAUAAUUAAUUAUUUAAUAUAACAUAUAAACUUAAUAUUAUUAAAAUAAAAUGCGUGUUUUAUAUAAAGAAAAAUUAAUAAAUACUCAGUUAAAAACUAAUAAUAAGUCAAUGACCUAUAUAAAAGCUUAAAACCUAAUAAAAUAUGACAAAUAAGAAAAUAAUUUUUUUAAUAUAACAUACAUAUUUAAAUAUUAUUAAAUCAAAAUUCGUUUUUAAUUAUAUAUAAAAUUUAUUACGAAUAUUUUUUUAAAUUAAUAAAUUAGUGAUUCAGCUAAAAAUUAUUAAUAAAUCAAUGACUAAGCUAAAACCUAAUAAAAACAUGAUAAAUAAGCAAAAUUGACUAAAAUCAUGGAAAACAUGACAAAUAAGCAAAAUCAAAAUAAUUAUAUAUCUAAUUACAUAUUUUAUAGUUAUCUUAUUUAAAUUAAUAAAUUAUAGACACUCAACUAAAAACUAUUAAUAAAUUAAUGAUUCAGCUUAAACAUAAUUAAAACAUGACAAAUAAGCAAAAUUACCUAUAAUCAUGGAAAUCAUGACAAAUAAGCUAAAUCACUUCAUAAAUAAUAGUAUAGAUAGAUAAUUUCUCUUAAAAUUUUGUAGAUGUUAAUUUUAUUUACAAAUUGAUUGAUCGUUUUAUAUAUCAAAAUCACAUGUUAAAGUUAUACGUAAAUCUGGAAGUCUCUUAGUCUAGUGGUUUAAUUAAGGAUUUAUUAAAGCUUCUACACCAUGAGGUCUGGAGUUCAAAUCUCAGAAAACGCAAAUUAUGCAGAUUAUGAAGAAAUUAGUUACAAGAGGUUUUCAGUAUGGUACAUGGCGUAUCAUCGAAAAUAAAGUUCAUAGGACAACUCAAAAUGAUGCAGUGAGACAUGCAUUCUCAUAUGAUGCUAGAAUUGUCGGCUGUAAAAUCGUCUAAUGUAAUAUUUCUCAUCGUUGUAAUAGCAUAAUUAAUCAGACGUUUAAAAAAAAGUUAUACGUAAAAAUAAUAUUAAAAUUAGAGAUCCAAAAAAAGUUAAAAAAGAACCCAAAAAAAAGUUAAAAAGAAAGAAAGAUAUAACCACACGGUGUUGACAAAAAAAACCACACGGUAUGACGUUAGUCUCCGACAAGCUUUUUUUUAAUCACUACCUACAAGUUGGCCAAACAUCAACCUUUUUUAUUUUAUCACUACUUUUCUUACCCUAAGUUUUCAUUUUUGAAAAGAUAUCUAAAUAUGUAUAGAAGAUACGAUAUGUUUCCUGAUUAAUCGGAACAUGCAUGAAAGAAGAAAAUAUCAAAUCAAAUAGUACGUAACGCUUUACGAAACUGUGGAGCAAACUGAGUCAUGCAGAAGGGGACGUUGUGUGUUGGGUAGGGAUGUUAAUAUGGGUUUUGUUCUGUAGGGUUAGCCCAGCCCGCAUCCAUUUUUUUAACCCGAAGCCCGUUACAUUUUAUGUGGGUUAAAAUAGGGCCGUCUAAUAUAACACACGGGCUAACUCUAAAACCUUUUUUUUUAUGAAAACAAAUCACUGAAAGGCGUUGUUUUAAUUUUUUUUCUCCAGUUCUUCAUCUUUCCUCGACGAUUCUAAAUCGAGAGUUCCGCUUCAUGUGAUUUCAUUUCUUCUCCAGUUCUCCAUUGCCUGAUUGUAAUCCGGAGACACGAUUUCGUCUCCAGUUCUCCAGUCAUCGCCCUCCUCUCUCGCGAUCCUCUGUGUUGUGUCCGUCGAGCAAUCUCUUCUUCUCCUUGACAUCGGUGAGAAAAUCGAUAUAGGGUUUGUGGGUUUGUUGAAAUCGAUCUCCAGGGUUUGUGGGUCUGUUGAAAUCGAUCUCUAAGGUUUGAUUAUGUUUAGAGUUUGAGACUGAUGUAUAUGUUUGAGUUUAGUCUUGUAGCAACGAGUGUUGUAUGUUGAUGUGUAUGUUUGAGUUCAGUUGAUGGAAGCUUUGUUUAGCUAUGUCUAAGCUAUGUGAUAAUGAAUUGCUUUAGUCUUAGUUUAGGUUUGUUCUGUGACUAGCUUGUAACUUGUAGUCUGCUUUGUAACUUGUAGUCUGCUUUACAUGAUAGCUUGCGUAGAGUUCCAAGAUAGCUUGUGUGUGUUCUGUAAACAAGUUUGUGAAGUUCAGUGAAGGAAACACAUUACAUGUUUAGAUCCUUUCCUGAGACAUGAAUGUUACAUAGUAGCAGCAGCCAUGAUAAUAUUAUAUGAGUGUAUAUUACAUAGUAGCAGCAGCCAUGUUCAGCUUUAGCUCUUGUAAACUGUAUGAGCUAACUGUUUUGUUAUCUUUUGUUACAGUAUAGAGUUCACAGCUUUGCUUAUUUGAUGCUGUUUGAUUGCUUGUAUGAUGUUUGUUUGACAGCUUUACAUGACUGCCAUCUCUCUUGUUUUUGCAGAGUGGAGUCACGUAGCCAAGUUUGGAGCUUGGAGGAUACAUGUAAUUUUAAAGUCUUCACGAGACUUGUAGUGAAUUAUAUGAAUAAAAAUAUUUAAACUUUUUUUUUUUUUUUUUUGAAUUUGGAGACAAAAAUGAAUUAACACUUUUUCUAUUUAUAUAAUAAUAUCUUGAGUU
rnacentral:lncRNA from 1 species